UACGGAGGGUGCAAGCGUUAUCCGGAUUCACUGGGUUUAAAGGGUGCGUAGGCGGGUAAGUAAGUCCGUGGUGAAAUCUCUGAGCUUAACUCCAGAACUGCCUUUGAUACUGGCGAUCUCGAGUUCGGGAGAGGAGAGCGGAAUUCCCAGUGUAGAGGUGAAAUUCGUAGAUAUUGGGAAGAACACCGGUGGCGAAGGCGGCUCUCUGGACCGAUACUGACGCUGAGGCGCGAAAAGCGUGGGGAGCAAACAGG
rnacentral:rRNA from 1 species